GUGCUGCUGAAGAGUCCCAAACUAGGACGAAACAGUUGUCCAGUAC
rnacentral:hammerhead_ribozyme from 1 species